UGCGCUGUAGUGGUUAAGAGCGGUAGUCUCGUAAUCUGGGGAACUGGGUUCGCGUCUCCGCUCCUCCACAUGCAGCUGCUGGGUGACCUUGGGCCAGUCACACUUAGAAUCAUAGAAUCAUAGAGUUGGAAGAGACCACAAGGGCCAUCGAGUCCAACCCCCUGCCAAGCAGGAAACACCCAUCAGAGCACUCCUGACAUAUGGUUGUCAAGCCUCUGCUUAAAGACCUCCAAAGAAGGAGACUCCACCACACUCCUUGGCAGCAAAUUCCACUGUCGAACAGCUCUUACUGUCAGGAAGUUCUUCCUAAUGUUUAGGUGGAAUCUUCUUUCUUGUAGUUUGGAACCAUUGCUCCAUGUCCGCUUCUCUGGAGCAGCAGAAAACAACCUUUCUCCCUCCUCUAUGUGACAUCCUUUUAUAUAUUUGAACAUGGCUAUCAUAUCACCCCUUAACCUCCUCUUCUCCAGGCUAAACAUGCCCAGCUCCCUUAGCCGUUCCUCAUAAGGAAUCGUUUCCAGGCCUUUGACCAUAUUGGUUGCCCUCCUCUGGACACGUUCCAGUUUGUCAGUGUCCUUCUUGAACUGUGGCUUCAGUGUUUUCCCUACAGAGAGCUCUUGUGAGGAGAAUAAGAGGCCUCCUAACAACUCUUUAAAAAAAUCAAAUUUUCAGUUUUACAUCUUAAAAUAAGCAUUUUACAUACUGUUAGAUAUCCCACGACUUCCAUCCUUCUCUUUCCUCCGUUCAUUGUGUUUAUCUUUCAUUCCUGCAUAAUUUGCUGUCGCCGUUUUAGUCUGUUCUCCACUUUUACAUCACUCAAACAUUAAUUACACUGUUGAUUUUGUCUUAAGGCUGCCAGCGUUUUCAGCUGUGUACAGUUAUUUUCCAUAUCCUCAAUAAAUAUUUUCCAUAU